CCAUAUCUUCACAAAUAAACACACAUGAAGAUGGCAUGAAGCAGGACUAUCGAUGGAUGGGCCUGAGAACAGAGGGUGUGGCCUGGGAAGAGUUUAAAGGUCAGACAGAGAGGCCUGGAAGGCCGCAAUCAGCUCCCGGGUCUGAGGUUUCCUACCCCUGUGCUAGAGGAAGUUGGAAUUCCAUAGAAUUCUACAGAAUUCAAAUUGCAAGUGUACUUCAUAGAUAGGUCGCAGACCACCUCAGUGAAGCUCACUGAUGACCGGUGGUCCAUGCACUGCAGUUUGGGAAUCCCUGCUCUAAGCAGUUUACAUUAGGCAAAUCAUUAUGUGUACCAUUGGUGCUUGGCUACCAGAGAAAUGAAACAUGUUUCCUUUUAAGGUUUUCUUGAAAACAACAGAGCUUAUUUCAGUGGGAGUAGAAUCUUUUGAUUCAAGCAAGCCUAAGGAGUGGACAUAAUUCAGUGGCGUGAGCCCAUACAUAGAAAGACAGUCUUGGGUUCUAUCCCUGCCAGUGAAGGGCAACCAAGAUGAUCUGGGCCUCAAGCAACACCCUUAUGGAGAAAGAUUACAAUUAUUUAGUGCAGAAGAAGCAAGUAGGAGGGGAGAAAGUGGACCAGGAUACCAAGCUGUCUGCCUACCCCAGUAGAGACCAUACCACCCUUUAAGACCUUCCAAGGAGACCCAGCUGGCCAUUCUACAGUUAAUGGAUUGCCCCUGGAUGACAACAUGGAUGCAGACCUUCUUGGUAAAUUCUCUGGAAUGCCCUUACUCAGGAAAUUAGUAAGGUGAAGAUCAUAAUUAUCUUGAAAUGCCUCUUUAAAAACUUAACCAAGUUUUCCUGGACUUUGACUUGUAGAGUUGUAUCUAACAUUGCUUUUCCACUUGCCCAACUGACUCCCAAUUCAACGAUAGAACUUCCUCUCAUCCCCCCUGCAGUUUCCCAUGGACCCUCAAAAUCUCCUCCAGAGCAGCAGCUUUUUGUGGUACAUGGGGAGAGGAGAGGGAGGAAAAGUCCCAUUACAUUACAUGAAUGGGACUUUGUGCAGUCUCAGAUACAAUCCUUAUUUUUUUUUUCUGUUUUGUAUAUUGCUCAGAUACACACACACACAUACAUGGCUUCUUCUGGAAGGAAGGAAGGGAUAUACAUUUAAUAAAUACAUAUACAUACAGUUUUGUUCUAUUUUUUAAUCUAAUUUUUAGGCAAUUUUAUUGAAUCUUUUCAUUAUUGUCUUAAUGUAAAUUUCUCACUUAGAGAUAUAAGCAGUAUCAUAAGUAAGUAAGUAAGUAAGUAAGUAAGUAAGUAAAAUAGACACGGUGUGGAGAGAGUUGUGAAUCAAAGGUGGAUUUGUCUGUCUUAUUUGUGUGUAAGGUAUAUAAAUGCAAUGCUAUGCAAUCAAUCAAUCCUCCCUUUCUCAAAAUACUUCAGGUCAUCCAGUGAAGCUGAAUGACGAGAUUAUCAGGACAGGCAAUACGAAGUACUUCUUCAAAUACUGCAUAGUUAUUAUGGAAUUUGCUAGCACAUGUAUGUGAUGAUGGCCACCAGAUUGAGCUCUCUCCAGGUGUUAUAGUCAUGAAAGGGGCAACACAAGUUUAGCCCUACCCCCAUUAUUGCACAGCUUGUUCUAUCUUCCCAGUGAAUAUAUACACUGCUUGUGUAGGCUUGUGUAUAUACUGCUUGUGUAGGCUCUCUGUGCAAUUAAGUACUGUGACCUUCCAGGAUUCUUAAUUGUACAGGGUGCCUCUAUAACCAGAAAUGGCUCUCUGCUGCAAAAGUUAUACUAGAACAUGAGUAGGAAUGGGGGAGAAAUUCAAUUUUGUUCACAUUUAAAGCUGAAUCUAUCAAAUCCACACUUUGCAUAACAAAAGGAGAACUGACACACCGCCAUCCUUUGAAAUUCACACUUAUCUGAAUUUUGCGAUGUAGUUCUCCAACUAAACAAUGUUUACAAAAAUUGCAUAGAAAGGGGAAAGUGUGUAUAAAAAUGAUUAUAUUGAUGCAAGUAACAUACAAACUUGCAUUAUACUGGGAUAAAUUGGAUGGAAAAAUGUGUACAGAACUGAAUAUUAAAUGUGUUUAUUAGGAGAAAGUUGCACUAAUAUGCUGAAGAAUUUCCAUGUGGAUUUUUUUUUACAAAAAUUUCAGAUUGUUGCAGAAAUGUGGAGAAGUAAAUUUAAAACUGGAAAAAUUAUAAACUGUGAGAACCGAAAUUGACAGAUCCUUCCAUCUCUAAACAUGGGGCAUGGCUUAAAGAAAGACCUUAUAGCCCUUUUCUACUUGUGUUGAUCCUUCAUGGCUGAAGAGGGCCAUAGGAGGCUUUAAAUGGGAUUAGAGAAACUCAUGGUGGAGAAAACGAUCACAAGCAGGAGGGGACUAUUGCUCCGUGCCUUGCUUGUGGGCUUUCCACAGGCAUCUGGUUGGCCACUGUCAAAAACAGGAUGCUGGACUAAACAGGCCUUUGGUCUGAUCGAGGGGGGUCUCUCCUUAUAAUUUUUAUACUGUAUUUCAAUAUACAACUAUUAGGAUGGCUUACAAAAGCUAAAAUAGAAAAAACACAAUAGGUCAUCAGCAAAAAUCAUUAAAACAGCUGGAUAAAAACAGAGGUGCUCUAGAGGUUGGACUGAGAAAUACCACUGAGCAGUUUUUUUUAGAUUAUGUCACUACAAAGUGUCACAGAAUAAUAAAAUAAUAAAAAACAGCAUAAAAAUAAACAGCAUAAAAAACCCAAGGGUAAUAUCCAACACUAGUCAUACACAGAGCUGACCCACAGAAAUCAAUGGACUUAAGUCCAUCAACUGGUUUAAGCUUACAUGGCUUCCACUCUUUGACCCUCACAGCAAUCCUGCCAGGUUGGUUAGGCUGAAAGAGUGAAUGGUCCAUUGGCUGAGCAGGGAUUUGAACAUGGGACUCCCCAGUCUGCCCAGCUGUCUAACCCAAGGGUAAUCAGUGUGGUGCCCUCCAGAUGUUGUUGGUCUUCAACAUCCAUCAGGUUGGGGAUGAUGCUGUUUAAGAAUAUCUGGAGGGCACCAUGUUGGUGAUGCCUGCUCUAUACACUAUACUAUUUAGCUGCAAAACUAAAUGGGUCAAAACAUUUGUGGCAUGGCAGAAAGUUGCACAGGAUGAGAUCAAUCCCACUUAUCACAUUUGUGAAUCACUGAGUAGAUUCUUGCAUUCCACAUGGUUUAUCAGGAAUGCAGAUCAUUCAGAAAAUUCAGCUUACAUGCUGGUUAGCCUGCAGUUCACAGCACUAAUAUAACUGGGUUUUUUUUGCAGAGCAAUCAAACAUUAGGCUGAGACUCUGUAGCUACCUCUUAAGAACAUUCCUUUACAACAGCUAAAUACAUACUUUAUUGAUAUUCUGGUAGAAAAUCAUUCUAAUAAUGAUGUUCUGAGAUGAAUGUAAAGGUCUGGCUGCUGAAGUGAAAUAAAUGUAAUAUCAAUCAACACA